rnacentral:misc_RNA from 1 species
CUCUGUUGAAGUUUCCUUCUACCUCCAACUCUAUCCAAUUAUUGGGCGGUUCACUGGAAACAUCGAUUCUCUUUGAGGAAAGUGUCAGCGAUUAAACUGACCUGUGUAAAAGGCAGAGGCUCCGAGGUUGCGCCGCAAGCUCCGCAAACGCUUUGCUCGACCAACGUCAUGGCGAACUUCUGAUGUGGCACGCAGUGUCUCGCGCUGCACAUGUCUUCCGCCUCUCCGCUGGCUAUGUGAAGAUGUAUAC